GAAGCCGCUUUUUUCUCAUUCAUGAAGUUGUUUGUUUGUGUGCUGGGAAAACCGUUUCAAUUUUCAAGAGAUCUGAAACCCGUUUCGGCAUCAUAUGAUCUGAGACGAUCCCUUGAUGAAGAUGAUGAUGAAUUAGUCGGUUUUAAGACGGUGUACUCA
ensembl:ncRNA T05A6.12 ncRNA